GACAAACGCUGGCGGCGUACCUAAGACAUGCAAGUCGAACGGAGACUUCCGCUUCGGCGGGAGAGCUUAGUGGCGAACGGGUGAGUAACACCUAGGAACCUGACGCACAGUGGGGGAUAACGCGGGGAAACCGGCGCUAAUACCGCAUGCGGUUCUGGUGGGAGACUACCAGAAAGAAAGCAGUAAUGCGCUGUGUGAGGGGCCUGGGACCGAUUAGCUAGUUGGUGGGGUAAGGGCCUACCAAGGCGACGAUCGGUAGCUGGUCUGAGAGGAUGGU
rnacentral:rRNA from 1 species